rnacentral:rRNA from 1 species
GAUGAACGCUAGCGGCAGGCCCAACACAUGCAAGUCGAGGGGUAGAAGGCUUCGGCCUUUGAGACCGGCGCACGGGUGCGUAACGCGUAUGCAAUCUGCCUUACACUGGGGGAUAGCCCAGAGAAAUUUGGAUUAAUACCCCAUAGUAUUUUUGCCUGGCAUCAGGUGAUUAUUAAAGUUUUUCGGUGUAAGAUGAGCAUGCGUCCCAUUAGCUAGUUGGUAUGGUAACGGCAUACCAAGGCAAUGAUGGGUAGGGGUCCUGAGAGGGAGAUCCCCCACACUGGUACUGAGACACGGACCAGACUCCUACGGGAGGCAGCAGUGAGGAAUAUUGGUCAAUGGGCGAGAGCCUGAACCAGCCAUGCCGCGUGCAGGAUGAAGCAUCUAUGGUGUGUAAACUGCUUUUGUACGGGAAGAAACACCUCUACGUGUAGAGGCUUGACGGUACCGUAAGAAUAAGGAUCGGCUAACUCCGUGCCAGCCGCCGCCGUAA